rnacentral:snRNA from 1 species
UGAACCCAAAGGUUCUAGCAA